CGCGUAGGCGGUGGGUUACGUCUGCCGUGAAAUCCCCCGGGCUCAACCUGGGAAUGGCGGUGGAAACGGGCUGACUAGAGUAUGGGAGAGGGUGAUGGAAUUCCAGGUGUAGCGGUGAAAUGCGUAGAGAUCUGGAGGAACAUCAGUGGCGAAGGCGGUCACCUGGCCCAAUACUGACGCUGAGGCGCGAAAGCGUGGGGAGCAAACAG
rnacentral:rRNA from 1 species